GAUGAAGAACGUAGCGAAAUGCGAUACUUGGUGUGAAUUGCAGAAUCCCGUGAACCAUCGAGUCUUUGAACGCAAGUUGCGCCCGAAGCCACUAGGCCGAGGGCACGCCUGCCUGGGCGUCACACGUCGUUGCCCCCCCCCCAUCUACUCCUUCGGGAUUGCGGGGGGCGGAUGAUGGCCUCCCGUGCGCCUAGCCGCGCGGUUGGCAUAAAUACCAAGUCCUCGGCGACGCACGCCACGACAAUCGGUGGUUGCGAAACCUCGGUUGCCCGUCGUGUGCGUUCGUCGCGCAUCGAGGGCUCGAAAAAAUGCUCGGCUCCGGCUCGGCUUUCAACGCGACCCCAGGUCAGGCGGGGUUACCCGCUGAAUUUAAGCAUACAAUAAGCGGAGGA
rnacentral:misc_RNA from 1 species